GGCCUACCAAGGCGACGAUCAGUAGCCGGCCUGAGAGGGUGGACGGCCACAUUGGGACUGAGACACGGCCCAAACUCCUACGGGAGGCAGCAGUGGGGAAUAUUGGACAAUGGGGGGAACCCUGAUCCAGCGACGCCGCGUGAGUGAAGAAGUAUUUCGGUAUGUAAAGCUCUAUCAGCAGGGAAGAAAGAAAUGACGGUACCUGACUAAGAAGCCCCGGCUAACUACGUGCCAGCAGCCGCGGUAAUACGUAGGGGGCAAGCGUUAUCCGGAUUUACUGGGUGUAAAGGGAGCGUAGACGGCAGUGCAAGUCUGAAGUGAAAGGCGGGGGCCCAACCCCCGGACUGCUUUGGAAACUGUGCUGCUGGAGUGCAGGAGAGGCAAGUGGAAUUCCUAGUGUAGCGGUGAAAUGCGUAGAUAUUAGGAGGAACACCAGUGGCGAAGGCGGCUUGCUGGACUGUAACUGACGUUGAGGCUCGAAAGCGUGGGGAGCAAACAGGAUUAGAUACCCUGGUAGUCCACGCCGUAAACGAUGAUCACUAGGUGUCGGUGGGUAUGGACCCAUCGGUGCCGCAGCAAACGCAGUAAGUGAUCCACCUGGGGAGUACGUUCG
rnacentral:rRNA from 1 species